ACAUCAAGGACCAGGAAGAGCUGGAGGGCAGGAAGGUGCCCCAGUACCCAUGCCUUUGGGUCAAUGUAUCAGCUGUGGGCAGAUGGGCCAUGCUGUAUCACACAGAAGACACUCGGGAUCAAAACCAACAGUGCUCCUAUAUCCCCAGGAACCUGGACAACUACCAGACAGCCUUGGUUGAUGUGAAGAAGCUCAGAAGUAGACCAAUCUCUUCUGCACAGCAGCAUGGAGUCACCAGGAACGGCAGGGGUCCCGGGCAGGCAUAAUUCUCUUCCUCUUGUCCUCCAUUUAAUUUGUUCAACCUCUUUGGACAAUCAUUUCUUGCUCAAGAAUGUUUAACAGCUCUCUCCGGUUGACUUCGAAGGGCAAAGGAACUGCCAGUCACAGCUCUCGAUCCCCGGCUUCAGUUGGCUCACAUCUGUUACCUGCUAUGUCACUGUCUACUCCCAAGACGAUGAAUAUCGUCACCUCUGUCCCUAUGUGCUCUCUCUUAGUUCCUCAGAUACCCACCUUUGACAUCCAGGAUGCUGUCCUUGGCCAAAUUCAGCUUCUUUGAAUUGUCAUAAAAGCCAUAGCUCUCAUUUACUGGUCAACUGAGUAGCACUAUUUGUUAAGGACAUCAACACACACACACACACACACACACACACACACACACACACACACACACACAUUAAAAUUUAUUCUAAAAUUAAAACAUAAUGCUGUCCUUCAGUAUCCACCGGGACCAGUUCUGUGACUUGCUCAGAUGGCAAAAAUCCCUUCUAUACAGUGAUGCAGUCUGCGUGGCAGCACUGUCUGCCUUCCUGUGUGCUGCAUAGUAUCUCCAGAUGACCAGUAAACACCCACUACAGUGUCAAUGCCGGAAGUGACUUCAUUCUAGGGAGUAAUGAUGAGGAAGAGUCCAUCCAAGCUCACAGCAGAUGCAAUUAUUACCCAAACACUCUCAAUCUGCACUUGAUGGAAUCCAAUGGGGCAGAACCUGCCGAUACAUAUUUGAGCAUAUACGCACAGUAACAAAAGUCUGUGAGGAAAUAAAUGCAAGUGCUUCAAAUUCU
rnacentral:lncRNA from 1 species